GAUGAACGCUGGCGGCGUGCCUAAUACAUGCAAGUCGAGCGAACAGACGAGGAGCUCGCUCCUUUGACGUUAGCGGCGGACGGGUGAGUAACACGUGGGUAACCUACCUAUAAGACUGGGAUAACUUCGGGAAACCGGAGCUAAUACCGGAUAAUAUUUCGAACCGCAUGGUUCGAUAGUGAAAGAUGGCUUUGCUAUCACUUAUAGAUGGACCUGCGCCGUAUUAGCUAGUUGGUAAGGUAACGGCUUACCAAGGCAACGAUACGUAGCCGACCUGAGAGGGUGAUCGGCCACACUGGAACUGAGACACGGUCCAGACUCCUACGGGAGGCAGCAGUAGGGAAUCUUCCGCAAUGGGCGAAAGCCUGACGGAGCAACGCCGCGUGAGUGAUGAAGGUCUUCGGAUCGUAAAACUCUGUUAUUAGGGAAGAACAAACGUGUAAGUAACUGUGCACGUCUUGACGGUACCUAAUCAGAAAGCCACGGCUAACUACGUG
rnacentral:rRNA from 1 species